rnacentral:rRNA from 1 species
UACAUGGGGUGCAAACGUUGCUCGGAAUUAUUGGGCGUAAAGCGCACGUAGGCGGUUUGUUAAGUCGGAUGUGAAAUCCCUCGGCUCAACUGAGGAAGUGCACCCGAAACUGGCAGGCUUGAGUACUAAAGAGGGUCGCGGAAUUCCCGGUGUAGAGGUGAAAUUCGUAGAUAUCGGGAGGAACACCGGUGGCGAAGGCGGCGACCUGGGUAGAUACUGACGCUGAGGUGCGAAAGCGUGGGGAGCGAACAGG